UUCAAGAACAAAAUCUGAUACACAAAAGUCCAAACUCUGUAUGUGUCUGUGCGUCUGUGUGUAUGCAUGUCGUGGGGGUAAGCAACUAAAGAAAAGGAAGCGACUUCCCUGUGUUGAUGAGUGCAUUAUGGUCAUACGUAGUGGUGGGUUCAUUGUGACAUACAUAGAAAUGCACAUGACCUACCUGCUCCUUUUCAUUCUCCUGCACUACUACUUUCCCUCACCUCUCUGCCCUACCCCUGGUCCUGCAAAGCAAAGAUUGUUUUAAAAAUAAUGAUCGUGGCUGCUGCUGGGAGGCAGAGGAGGAGAUGUGAUCCAUGGUCCCCACCUGGGCAGGAAUGUUCUGGUUUUCGCUUGGUGUUGGGUGUCAUCGAGGGAGCUCAUGCUCACUGUUCUCUGUGUGAAGAUAUAUUUCACCACUUCAGAAACAAUUCUGGUAUUUUUUUUGAUUUCACAUUUUAGUGAGGAGUUGGGAGAGGUUUUGUGGCAAAUGAGUAUAACUGUGUGCCGGGCACACUUCUGACCCUGUGGUCUAAGACUCCCACCCACUAUGUGAAUCAUGCCUGGAAAUAGCCACAAAAGGCUGCAAAACCCACCAGCUCCUUGGCUGCACCCCAGUGUCCAAACCAUGCCCUGGGUUUGCUCCACCCAGGAGGGCCCUCUUUAAUUUCCCUGUGUGGCUGACGCUUUCUAACCCUGUUCCCAUCCCAGCACACCUUGAUGAUAUCCUGGUGGGUUAGUUUCAGAGACAAGUAUGAGGAUUGAUAAUAAACGAUUUAAGGGUGGGGAGACCAUUGAAGAUGAGUGGGAGGCAGAGAUUCUUGGAGACUCUGGUGGGACAGAAAUACAGGCAGCAGGAAGUGCAUGCAGAAUAGCCUAGCACAGGACUGGAGGCCGGGAGCGUUGAGUGGCUGUGUUGAGUGGGAACGAGGGAGAGAGGACAAGACGCUGACUAAUCGUCAUCUGUUCCAGGGUCUCCAUGUGCCCGUUCAUUAAUGCUGAUUUAAAAUUGACAUGAAGGCAGCAGCUCCAUAUCAAGUGUGUAACUGGAAAGACAAAGAGGGGAUUGGCCAUUUGUCCAGAGGAAGGGUUGAGGUUCAGAACAGGCCUGUGAACACCAGAAAAAGCUGGUUCUGGUAAUGAGCCCUCACCUGGUGCCAGGUGCUAUGGACCACCCAUGUUUAGUUUCUUGCUCUUAAGCAUUUGGAGUAGAUACUGUGGACACCCCAUUUACAGACAAGGACACAGGUUAAGCUACUGCCUGCUUUUCAUAGGUGGGAAUGAGAGCACCAGGGCCCGUCUCCGGCUCUGCAGUCUAUUCUUUCUACCAUGUUGCCACAUGGGGCCCAGAAGGGUCAGCACAAAGCUGCUUGGCUCUGGUAGCUCUGGAAGGGAGACAUCCUGAGUCUGUGCCAGGAAGGAAGUAGCCAUGCCGUCAUCAGCCCCUGGACACUGUCCUUCUAUCCCUCUGCCUCCAGCACCAGGUCCACAAAUGGUUCCAGAAACCCCAGGGCUGAAGUCUGGAAGAGAGGUCCAGCCUGGUUGCCAUGGUGAUCCUUAAUCAUAGGGUGAUCCAGGCUUAGUAUCAUGUAUCAUUUCACCUUCCAUGGAUGGUAAAAUCGAGGUCUGAUAUGAGGCUGUGGUCUGAAUGUGUGGCCCCCAUAGUUAAAAUCUUGUCCCCUGCAAGUGUGAUGGUGUCAAGAGGUGUGGCCUUUGAAGGUGACUGUGACAUAAGGGUGAUGUCCUCAUAGUAGGAUUAGUGCAUUCAUAAAUGACACCCUGGAGAUUUUCCUUGCCCCCUUCCAGCUUGUGAGGACACAGCAGAAAGACACCAAGGAACUAGAAAGUGGGUCCCCACUAAACUCCAGUCUUCUGACACUUCCAUGUCAGACUUCCUGCCCUGCAGAACUGUUAUUUUGUUCUAGCAACCUGAAUGGACACAGAUAGUUGGCCACUGCCAAGAAUGUCCAGGCAGGACCUUGAGUAGCUUUAGCUCUCUAGUAGGAGCAGGAGAGGAUAAAGAUGUCAGUUAGAUCCAGAUUCUACAAGAUAUAGGUCCCAGGCUGAGGAUGAACUGUCAGUGGGCACACAGCUGGACAGUGCUGCUGGGUGGAGACAGAUUUGCAGAGCAGCCACCGACUCCGGAUGCUCCUUGCCACUGGUGAUGUGUUCCUUCUGGUUACCUUUCACAGGCCCCAGCAGGUCACGGGCCAUGCUGGCCUUCAAGCUGGUGGCACCUUAUCUAGCUCAGGCUGCUGAAGCAGACACCAUAGACUGAGUGAGUCAAACAGCAGACAUUUAUCUCUCUCAGUUCUGGAGGCUGGAGGUCCAGGGUCAAGGAGCUGGAUGCUUGGUUCCUAGUGAGGGCAUUCUUCCUGGGUUUCAGAUGGCCACCUUCCUGCUGUCCUCACGUGGAGGGGGGAGGAAGAGAAAGCCAGCUCCCUGCAGUCUCUCCUGACCUCAUCUAAACCUAAUUAUCUCCAUAAAGAGCCCAACCGCCAAGGCCACCUCACUGGGGUUAAGUGUCAAUGCAUGAAUUUUGGAGAGAGACACGCAUUGGAAACCCUUUGUAUGUGACACCUGCCAUGUCUUGGAAGGCGAACUUGAUGAUCAGGGAGGGACUAAGUGCCAUGGGAUGAGCAUCGCCAGGGUUGAUUCUCAGAGUCUUAGGACCCUGUCCCCACGCAGCUGCCACUCACACACACAGUCGUGUCAACAAGUAUUCAGUAGAAGAUGCUAAAAAUAGCUUCCCGAGGGUUGGUCAACAAAGCCAGCAGCUGGGAAGGUCAGGAGGAAGGGCCACCAUGGAGUGUGGGAUGGGGACGGGGCCAGGCCCUCAUGUUGGGGAACUGUUGCACUAGUUUGGGGACCAUCACCAUGGAGCUUGAAAUACUAAUCAGGGAGAGCAUCUGGCAUCUGUGCAUCACAGAGACAAACCUUGGAGCUGCACUUGAUGAGGGAAGAAAGGAAUCGCACCAUCAGCGGAACGGAGGCAUUGCUCACGCGAUGUGCCACUAACCCUGGACUCCUUACCUCAGGACUGACACGACAUCUCGUGGAUCCCCACGUUGGUUUUAAGACCUCAGAUGCGGUUGUGUUUGAUAUCUGCUCAGCACCCCAGACAGAGAGUGGUUAAGAGACUUCACAACAGAGAGACUAGUUGUUUAGGAGCCUUUGCUGUGAGCAAGCUCAGGUCUCAGUGCUGUCCUUGUCACAGCAGAGCUAUGAACUAGAGAUGUUGUCAAUACAAGUAAUAUUCAAAGUGUUCUGAAAUCAGUGGACCCUUAAGCAGCUGCCCAUGUUGUACAGCUGAGACAAGAAGACAGGCAGGAAGCUGGCUGCCCGGAUUCCAGAAGCCACUGUCCUUGAUACUCCUUAACUUGUGCCUAGUCUCAGGGAGUCACCGUGGAGAUGUGGUUAACCCUGCAUAGGGGCCCGUGAUGUUUCUUUAGGAAGCGCCUGUGUGGCCAUAGGUGUGUGGAGUCACCUUGGGUUCUGGAAAAUACGGGGACAUGCCUGCAAGCCGUGAGGAGCACCACCAGGACACUUGCUUCCCAUCCGACUCCAGAACCAACCUGGAGCUCGUGUGGUUAAAGGCCACAGAACCUUCCCUGUCUUCCUGCAGGAGCCUGGCGCACACGUGUUCACAUCUAUUCCACAGUAUUUACGAGCACCGUGUGGGCCGGGGCAGGGAGAGCCCUCACCAUGGAGCCCUGAAGACCCCGCAUGUCCACACAGUCACGCAGCAGAGCUUGACCUAGAACCAAGCUGCCUUGGCAGAAAUGCUUCUGAUCCUCCUGCUCAGCCUGUCUCCUGAGUCGCUCCCACCUGCCCUGUAUGACUGUUUUAGGCACAAAAGAAACACAUGCACCCACAAACACAUAUUUGUAAAUAAUAAGCUCUCCUGGCUUCUGUGAGGGAUGGGCAUUCCUGGCCUGCCUGUCUCAGGAUGGAGGGAGGGGACUGUACGCCACUCAGUGACAUCCAGACCUGGCUCCUGGGCACUGCUGCAUCCUGAGACUGGCAUUGCAUAUGCAGUGAUGUUCUUUUGGAGAGUGGGAUGAGACCACGGAGAGUGGGCACCUGGGGCUAUUUUUUCCUCUGUGAUUUGAGAAGUGCACUGUCCAUACCUAACAGAGCUGCUGUGUAUCUUUGCCAGCUGUGCCAAUCACACCUGUCUGUGCCAAUUCCAUUGCUUUUCCAUGUGUAGAACCAACACAUUGAGCAGAGCAGACGUGGUGGCUUUUCUCCUCAGCUGUUGUGCAUGUGUGCACGCAGGUGUGCAUGGGUGAUUACAAAUCAUACUAUAACUAGGUUCUGUGCAAUAGAAAAGUUGAUAUGAAGACUUCCGUGAGCUGUGUGGAGCGGGGAGGAGGGAGGAGGUGGGGCAGUCAGCCUUACUCUUGCUGGGUGCUUCCCAUCUGAGCUCACCUCACACAAGUGUGGGGAACUCCUAUACCCUUCAUCCCAGGACUCACAGCGAGCAGCCCUCACUCUGCGGCUGCAGUGCCCAGCACAGGAGAAGCAAGGCUCCCUGGAGCCACCCAGGGUCUGGACCCUGCAGCCCGGCUCCUCCAGGAGGGAUGGUUUGGGUCUGGAAAAGUUGCACUCCCUCAUGGACGACACCACUGAGCUGUGGGGGCAGAGCUCACCUUCCCUCUCGCUCGGAUGGCAGAAGAACCCACAGGGGGAGGAGAGCCCAAGUGCUCCUGCACCACAGUAUCCUCUGACUGAGCACUAAUUGUUGGGAUGAGACAGGACAAGGUGAGCUCAGGGUGGCCCACGGCUCCAUCAACUUUCCUCUGUUUGUGCUUGGAGGCCCCGAGCUUGGUCUUCAGCAGAGCAGCCGCUAGAGGCUUAUUGAGAAGAGUUCCAGGGGCUACGAUGCUGACCCACCAGGGCCUCUGAGCCUCUCUCUCCCCUGGGCCUUCUUGCUUUUAAUCUUUCGUUGAAAGAUUAAGAAAGGUCUUCCCCAGACUUUAGCCCUGUCCCCGGGGUCUGUUCAAAUAAAGCAUUUGAUAAGACCCAAAAUAUCGAGUGGUAAACAGCACGGGGAAUGGGUACUCCUCAAAUGUCUCAUGUCGUUCUCCUGGCUUUCCUUGCAGUUGUUAGAGGUCAUGUGACUGGUCCUGACCAGUGGACUAUCAAUGCAAGCGAUGUGUGUCACUUCUAGAUUGGGGUGGCUAAGAGCUGCAUGCCUCCUCCUGAUGUCCCCUGGAUUCUUCAAUGAUUCUGGAGGCCAGAGACUGCAGAUGGUGCCUCUGUAAGAUCCAAGGGAAUUGACUAACUCAUCAGGUUUACCUAAAUAAAUAAAAAAGGUUGAGCUUUGGUAUUUGUCCUGUUAGAAAGUAUCCUGAAAAAUACAGACUGCCCAUCCCCAAACCUGUCUCCAAACCCCUUCCAACCAGUGCAGGCAAGACAGUGUAUCUGGAGAAGCCUCCUAGGACAGAAGUCCUGUGCUCUGUCAGAGGGCGCUGUGCUAUGGGAGAACUGUAAGUUCCCCGACUCAGAAAGGUCUCUGCACCUUCUUGAGUGAUGUUACUCUCAGCUGCAGGGGAAAUGGAACUCCCUGGGUUAGUCAUGAUGAGAAGACACAGUCAGAGCAUGAGCUUUGAAUAGAGGUGGACCCAGAAGGUCUGCUAUUUCAUGCAAUAUGAAAGAGACUAAGUCUGUUCAUUUAUACAGUAAGUUAAGUCAGGUAUUAGAACCAAAGGAGAUUUUAGAAACAAUCUGUUGAAACCGUUCAACUAGUUCACACACUGGAUGAGGUCCACUGGGAUCCCAGUCUCUGCAGUCCCCUGGGAAGGCAGAGGGAGGGGUGACCCACCCAUUGACUCUGGCUCCUACCUGAGUUCUGGGUUGGGCAGAACUCACAGGAAGAAGCCUUGCUUCUCCUGUGCUGGGCACUACAGCUGCAGAGUGAGGGCCACUCACUGCGAGUCCUGGGAUGAAGGGCACAGAAGUUCCCCACACUUGGUGUGAGGGGAGCUUAGAUAGGAAGCACCUGGCAAGAGCAAGAAGUGGACCUUGUUGUCCUGGUGGCCUGCAUGAGUGUGUCCAGGUUGCUGCAAACCAUAGCAGCAUCUACCUCCAUGGCUGUGCCUGAUGCUCAGAACUGCUGGGGCCAAACCUGCCCAUGGGGAGGAUACAGGAGGGGGAGCGGUUAAUGAUGAGGCUCGUGAUGUGUAGGCUGGAAGCACCCUUAGAAGGAGACGUGUUUUCAGUCUUGUAACCAGGUCUGCCUACGUUAAGGUGAGAAAUGCCAUCUGCCCUCCUGGUUGAGGGCAACUUGUUCUCUUUCCUGCUGUUCCUUCUCUUUCACCCCCAAGGGCCCCGACUUUCUUCUUUGUCUCCAUUACUGGUCUCUUCCUAUUGCAUGUUCAUGCUAUGUUUCUCACUCACUGAAAACAGAAAAUUAUAGACACUAGGAAGGGACUGAAGGGCAGGUUGAUGAUGAAGGGCUUUUGUGGACACAGAGGGCCAGGUGGUCUUUCAUGGUCACAUCUUCUUUAGGGGGGAGAAAGUUUUCGGGGUGGCUGAGUGAGUUUUGUAAAGGAGGAUAGUGGGCAUUCAAAAUUCAGUUUAGAUCAGGCUUGGCUUUCUCCAUAUGUGUUUCAGCCUAGAAUUGUUAUGGGAUGAGCCUUUCCCAGAAAUUACCAAACACUAGCCACAGACGAUCUUUUGUAAAUAACUGAUUGGUUAUAAAGGGGACUGCAGCCAGACCUGAAUGUCCACUCUGAAGUUCCCAGCAAGGCUCUGCCUUCAGUUGAGACUUGUAGCAGCUCAGAACAGAAAGAAUCUAUUCCAAGGAAGAGCAGCUGUGCUCAAGGUUAGGAGCACGCUCAGAACUUCCUCACAAACCCGUGGGAUGAAGGAAGCCGGGGGUCUUAUGAGUCCCAUAACUAUGUACCUGUAUAAUCUAUGUAGUCGCACGACGCAGUGCUAAAGAGCUACCUAGGCUUUGGGAUGAAACCUUAAUUUUUGUUCUGGUUUUUCCAGUUUGUAUCUUGGUGACCUGGGGAAUAUUCCUAAUGCCUCUAAGCCUCAGUCUGAUUUUUACAAAGUGGGAUGAAAAAUGGGCCCUUGCCUUCGAGUUCUGUAGGGGGUUAAAUGUGAAGAUUAUGGAGAAGAAAAUAUGCCCUCUGAGCAGGGCCUGAGAUGCUCCGUGGGGAAUCCCCCUGCCAUUCGAGGAGCCCAUCUCUGCAGUUCCUGAACAUGCACCCCUUUUCCCUGGACACAGAGCUGGGUGACAUUCCUCAGCCUCUGUGACAGUUGGAUGUGGCUACAUGCCUGAGUAUUAGCCAAUGAGAUGAGAGUAGAAUCAAGGUGAGCCUCAUCCAGCCCUGCCCCUCAGAACCCCACCCACAGUCUUGUGUCACUUCCCCUGCACUGUGCGCCUUGGCUGAGCAUGGCAGGCAUGUAGCUGCUUGAAGGUGGUGGGGCUGUGACCUGGA